CUUGGUUGGGGCUCCCGGGGAGCAUCCCGUCCCACGGAGCCAGCUCUCCUUCCUGCUACCCCAGGGAGGCCAGGCCAGGCCCCUGGGCAUCUUGCUCUGCUCGCAUCACCUCCCCCCAUUCGCCAUCGCCCAGCCACCCUGGAGAAAUUGGGAGCCUCCUGGCAGUCAUCCUAAGUCAUGCAAGGAGGAGCCCCGAAAGGUGGCACCCGGCCAGCCAGCGGUGUGUGGCAUGGCCUUUCAGCCUGCCGGCGGGACACAGCCCGAGAGGUGGAAGGUACCCGGGGCUCCCGGAGCCACGGUGGGGCAGGGCACACCCAGGCAAGCCAGCAGGCCGGGCCUAGCCGAGCAGCGGGAGGGCUUGGUGUCGGGGGUCCAGGGCUGGGGCGGCCUGGUCACCUCACCUUAUGCAGCUGACCCUGCGUGUCCCCCAGGAAAGCGAUCGUGUGCCCGUCUGCCUGGAGGCCGGCCACGGCGCUGACGGGCUGCUCGAGCUGCAGCAGGGGCUCGGCCUCCAGGGGCUGGCGGCCAGCAAUGGGGCUGGGGGUGUGCUCGUCGCCGCAGGGGACAAGCCGACGCGUCGGAGGAAGAAACACCAGAAGAAGCUGGCCCAGGGCAGCCGGGAGCCGGCGCCUCCCUGACAUCCUCCACCCAGGCGGUCACACGCGGCUGUCACACGACAGCGCCCGGCCACCCGCAGC